CAUAUAUCAAUUGAAGCUAAUAUUCAUGGUCAUAUAUAAAGCAAUAUCAAGUAGAUACAGGGUAACGUUUUCUACUGAAUAAUCGAGGUGUUAAUGCUCUGACUUAGUUCAUGAUUCCACUGAAUGUACGAAUGAUUUCAUUGAUUUGUAUAUUCUGACUGUUCAGGGAUAGAUACAUGCAAGGAACCAAACGAUUAAUAAAAAAAUAAUCAUUUUAUUUAAAAUUUAUUCAUUUUCUGAGGAUGUUGAAAUUGUUUCUGAUAGACCUCUAUAACUGUUUGUUCCAAAGGGAUUUAAAGUUAAAAAAUGAAUGUUUAC